GAGUUUUAAACUCGGCUCAGGAUGAACGCUGGCGGCGUGCAUAAUACAUGCAAGUCGAGCGAACGGACGAGAAGCUUGCUUCUCUGAUGUUAGCGGCGGACGGGUGAGUAACACGUGGAUAACCUACCUAUAAGACUGGGAUAACUUCGGGAAACCGGAGCUAAUACCGGAUAAUAUUUUGAACCGCAUGGUUCAAAAGUGAAAGACGGUCUUGCUGUCACUUAUAGAUGGAUCCGCGCUGCAUUAGCUAGUUGGUAAGGUAACGGCUUACCAAGGCAACGAUGCAUAGCCGACCUGAGAGGGUGAUCGGCCACACUGGAACUGAGACACGGUCCAGACUCCUACGGGAGGCAGCAGUAGGGAAUCUUCCGCAAUGGGCGAAAGCCUGACGGAGCAACGCCGCGUGAGUGAUGAAGGUCUUCGGAUCGUAAAACUCUGUUAUUAGGGAAGAACAUAUGUGUAAGUAACUGUGCACAUCUUGACGGUACCUAAUCAGAAAGCCACGGCUAACUACGUGCCAGCAGCCGCGGUAAUACGUAGGUGGCAAGCGUUAUCCGGAAUUAUUGGGCGUAAAGCGCGCGUAGGCGGUUUUUUAAGUCUGAUGUGAAAGCCCACGGCUCAACCGUGGAGGGUCAUUGGAAACUGGAAAACUUGAGUGCAGAAGAGGAAAGUGGAAUUCCAUGUGUAGCGGUGAAAUGCGCAGAGAUAUGGAGGAACACCAGUGGCGAAGGCGACUUUCUGGUCUGUAACUGACGCUGAU
rnacentral:rRNA from 1 species